GGAUUCAGAUGUAGUAUCUGUAAGAAAGGUACUAAAAUGUAAAGGUGGAUAUACUGUUCAUCAGCAGAUGACUUGAAGUCAAAAGAAACGGAGACCAUUCAGUCAUUUCUACAGAUUUCCAAGCACGAAUGCUCUUAAGUUCAGCUGAGA